GGGGCUGUGGGGGAGUGGGCUGGUGGCAAAGUCGCUGGUAGAUGGCGUGGUCGCUGUUGGGGAGAGUUCUCAUAAUCCCUGGGUCGCGGGUUCGAGUCCCGCCCGCCCUA
rnacentral:tRNA from 1 species